rnacentral:rRNA from 1 species
UCGCUCUGCGAGGGUGGGGAGCUCUUCGACCAGAUCAUUGUGAAGGGGCACUACACGAAGCGCGCCGCCACUGUGGUCACCAAAACCAUCAUCGAGAUUGUGUGGAUCUGCCAUAAGCAUGAAGUGAUGCACCGGGACCUCAAACCAGAGAAUUUCUUGUUUGCAAACAUGAAAGAAACGGCUGCACUGAAAGCAAUUAUUUUUGGCAUGUUUAUUAUGUUUUUGACUCCAAGUAUAGUCAAUCCUAAUAUCCUAUAUAGCUAUCGUUGA